GACUCUUAGUAACAUAUAUCUUGAUUCUUGCAUCGAUGAAGAACGUAGCAAAAUGUGAUACCUAGUGUGAAUUGUAGAAUCCCAUAAACCAUUGAGUUUUUGAAUGAAAGUUGCGCUCGAGGCCUUUUGGUCGAGGGCACGGCUGCCUGGGCAUCA